rfam:TPA: Bos taurus chromosome 5, whole genome shotgun sequence.
UAGCUCAGUCGGUAAAGAAUCUGCCUGCAAUGCAGGAGACCCAGGUUUGAUUCCUGG